rnacentral:rRNA from 1 species
UACGUAUGGGGCAAGCGUUAUCCGGAUUCAUUGGGCGUAAAGAGCGCGUAGGCGGCUUGGUAAGUCAGAUGUGAAAACCGGGGGCUCAACCCGCGGCCUGCAUCUGAAACUGCCAGGCCUGAGUCUGGUAGAGGAAAGUGGAAUUCCUAGUGUAGCGGUGAAAUGCGCAGAUAUUAGGAGGAACACCAGUGGCGAAGGCGGCUUUCUGGGCCACGACUGACGCUGAGGCGCGAAAGCUAGGGGAGCAAACAGG